GAGCAAAACAAACGGACGUUACGGCAACCGCGUUGCGGUUGUUGUUGCGUCGUUUUUAAGUGCUC
rnacentral:pre_miRNA from 1 species